GACGAACGCUGGCGGCGUGCCUAAUACAUGCAAGUCGAGCGAAUGACGAGAAGCUUGCUUCUCUGAUUUAGCGGCGGACGGGUGAGUAACACGUGGGCAACCUGCCCUACAGAUCGGGAUAACUCAGGGAAACCUGGGCUAAUGUCGGAUAAUCCUUCGAAUCACAUGUUUUGAAGUUGAAAGGCGCUUCGGCGUCACUGUAGGAUGGGCCCGCGGUGCAUUAGCUAGUUGGUGGGGUAACGGCCUACCAAGGCAACGAUGCAUAGCCGACCUGAGAGGGUGAUCGGCCACAUUGGGACUGAGACACGGCCCAAACUCCUACGGGAGGCAGCAGUAGGGAAUCUUCCACAAUGGACGAAAGUCUGAUGGAGCAACGCCGCGUGAGUGAUGAAGGCUUUCGGAUCGUAAAACUCUGUUGUAAGGGAAGAACAAGUACGUUAGGAAAUGAACGUACCUUGACGGUACCUUAUUAGAAAGCCACGGCUAACUACGUGCCAGCCGCCGCAGUAA
rnacentral:rRNA from 1 species